AUGACGAACGCUGGCGGCGCGCCUAACACAUGCAAGUCGAACGAGCGAGAGGAGGUUUACUUUCUCAAGCGAGUGGCGAACGGGUGAGUAACGCGUGAGGAACCUGCCUCAAAGAGGGGGACAACAGUUGGAAACGACUGCUAAUACCGCAUAAGCCCACGACCCGGCAUCGGGUAGAGGGAAAAGGAGCAAUCCGCUUUGAGAUGGCCUCGCGUCCGAUUAGCUAGUUGGUGAGGUAACGGCCCACCAAGGCGACGAUCGGUAGCCGGACUGAGAGGUUGAACGGCCACAUUGGGACUGAGACACGGCCCAGACUCCUACGGGAGGCAGCAGUGGGGAAUAUUGCACAAUGGGGGAAACCCUGAUGCAGCGACGCCGCGUGGAGAAAGAAGGUCUUCGGAUUGUAAACUCCUGUUGUUGAGGAAGAUAAUGACGGUACUCAACAAGGAAGUGACGGCUAACUACGUGCCAGCAGCCGCGGUAAAACGUAGGUCACAAGCGUUGUCCGGAAUUACUGGGUGUAAAGGGAGCGCAGGCGGGAAGACAAGUUGGAAGUGAAAUCCAUGGGCUCAACCCAUGAACUGCUUUCAAAACUGUUUUUCUUGAGUAGUGCAGAGGUAGGCGGAAUUCCCGGUGUAGCGGUGGAAUGCGUAGAUAUCGGGAGGAACACCAGUGGCGAAGGCGGCCUACUGGGCACCAACUGACGCUGAGGCUCGAAAGUGUGGGUAGCAAACAGGAUUAGAUACCCUGGUAGUCCACACUGUAAACGAUGAUUACUAGGUGUUGGAGGACUGACCCCUUCAGUGCCGCAGUUAACACAA
rnacentral:rRNA from 1 species